rnacentral:lncRNA from 1 species
AGUUCUGUUCUAACUUCCUUGCCAUUUGCUCCGGGGCUUGUCAGCUCUGGGAGAGAAGGUGCCCAUGCCCUCUCCUGGGCCACCUGGCAGCUCAGGUGUGUGAGCCAUCAGCACCCAGAGGGGCCUCCAGUGAGGGCCGGGAUCUGUCUCCCACUAUCCAGGUAAUGGAGCUAAUCUCAAACACAAACCUUUGUGGUUCGACAGAGGACAAAGCCUACUGAAGUGAGAGAAGAGUUUCAUCAGGGACGUGUUCAGAAGAGCCCUGGACAGACGGGCACCAGGAGGGCACUGGCAAUCCCGAGGCUCUGAAAACGAAGAUGGGCGGAGGCCGAGUGUUUGGAUCUGACAGGGGCCUGAAGGCGGCGGGAAUCUCUGGGGUUGCCCUGGCGGGGUCACAGCCACGCGCAGGCCCCUCCCGUCUGCCCAGCCUCAGUCUGGUGGGAAGACCCCGGGGGCCUGGAACCGGAGGAGGCUGCACACACAGGGGUCGAAGUCCAUGUAGAGCCCCUGUAUCCCCAAGACUGCAUGGCCCCCCACCCCCGAGUCCCAGCGGACACUCAGGACCCCAGCUCAGGGCAGCAGGCCCGUCCCCCACCUCACUCCUUAUCCACAAACCCCACCCUUGCCCGCCCGGUCCCCGGAGGCCUCAGGAUGCCCACGCAAAGCCAGGCUCUGGAAGCAGCAGCUGGGGGAAAAGAGCGGAACAGCUGUGGCCGUGCAUCCAUGAAACCCGCCGGCUGCUCCCAAAGAAGUCAGGCUCCAGAAAGGAGAGUUCUGGAAUUAAACAGACCGAUGGCUUAUACUUAAAAAAAGAUGAGAGCAAAAAACAGCUGUGAAGCAAAUGAGUCACCUGAGGCUAACCAAGAGGCUUCUGGCUGUGAAAGGAAUGGGGUCACACAGAGAAGGUGGCAGAUGCAGGGACUGCGGGAGGCAGAACUGAGAGGAGAAAGAACGACCAGGGACCUCAGGAGGGAACAGCAAGGGCAGUGGAAGAGGCGGCUUCGCCAGUUUCCAAACUCCCAAGGUCAAGUGUGGGAAACGCCAUUCACCUGUGCAGGGGGCACCAUCUUCCAGGAGGAUCCCCAUCCCCUCCCUCGGAAAACAGAAAGAAAGGCCCCGUCAAGUAUUUUUGGUUUAGAAGACAUCGUUGUGAGUAAAUAAACCCGACACGCUUUUGCGUUGCUCAGCGAUGACUAAACUUGCCUCUCUCAGGAAGAUUCAGAGGAGCCACCAGUCCCAGGAGGCCUGUGCCUUGAGGCUGAGUGCCCACCAGUGGGGGUGGCAGCGAGGGGGCCUGCGCCCGUCAGAUGAUGGAGAAGAGGUCGGCUGUGAAGCCAGCGCGGCCGGCUGAUGCCACCCUGAGCCUCGGCUGCUCUGAGUUGGCUGCUGAACAAACCUAGAGCUGGAGCCCAGCCAGGGGUGGGAGGGCCAGAGCCUCCAGGCACAGGCACAGCAUCCACAGCUUCAUGCCCUUUGGAGGGGCCACCGGGGGAGGGCACAAGGCUGAGAGCAGAAACAUGGGCCUGGGUGGCAGGUGCUUCCCUCAUAUGUUUUUUUUUUUUUAAUGCUUAGUAUUAAAAGCACAGAAUUUAAUCAGUUCAUCCGAGUGACUGAGGAGGGCUUAAGAGUUAAGAGAAGAAACGACUGUCUCUGGUGUGAGGGGGACAACACACAGCCCGUGACCGGCAGGAGCUCAGGGGCCACCGCACUGGGCUCAGAAGUGACGUGCGGACGUGGCGAAGCACAAAUCCAAACACACCAGGAAGACACCAGAAACGGCCACAAAACCCAUGCAACCUCCCGUUAAGCCUAAAUAACUAUAACGUCGCAUCAAAACUUCAGUAAGAUGAAGAAGCGAUUCCUAGAAUAAAAUUAGUGUGAAAUAAAAUUUUAAAAUUACCCAAAACAAUCUGGAACAAACCCUCGGAUGACUUCCCAAGUUUUGGAAGACGGAGAUCAGGAACUCAUCACGAAGUUAUAGACGCGGAUAAUCCCACAAACGGACACGGAAUCCAAGUUUAAGGGCAGCCACAAGAAGAACAGAAAG